rnacentral:lncRNA from 1 species
AUGGAAGAUCUCUCUCUUAACGUGUGGACCGGGAGGCUCAUUCAAGCCCUGCAAAUGAACAUCACUGAACAUCCCUGGAGCAGUCGUCCCAGUGCUAACGCUGUGUUAACCCAGAGGCAAGUGGUCAACAUAACCCGAGUUCAACUGUUGACCACCGAAGAAGGUUCACUGCCCACUGUUGAUCAGGACGAUAACUCACUUUGGCCCUUGUCACAGGAUCUACACCUGGGGAAAGACAUUAUAAAAUGGCCCUGGGCCUGGCAGCCUGGGCGGAGGGAACCUGUUCGUGGACUGGGCGACACCUUGGCCUCACUGCUGGGCGAGUCUGAUUGCUGGGUCUACAGCCAGACGCCGUGGUCAUCUGCCCUGGACGUCCACGAAACAUUGACCCGAUAAGUGCUUGACUCCAAAGUUUGUGCUCCUCUUGGACUCUGAUGUCAGAACCGCAUGUGUGAUAUUUAGCUGGAGUGCACCUCACCUACCUGACCCCGGGGAUGUGGCAGAAGAGGGGCGGGCUAAGACUGCAGGGGCCAUGCAGGGUGUGUUGGGGUGGAGUGUGCGGUCAGGCCACUCAAGAUGGCUGUUCUCUUGCUCCUUGUACGUCCCCUGCUCAACCAGUCCCUGCUUCUCCUGCACCCGACUCGCCUGAGCAUGUCUGGCCCGGCCCCAGCUAGCGGUAGCCCUAGUGCUUAGGCCAGAACAGCUCCACCUGCUAGUUUCUUAAACAGAAACAUCUGCCCUCGUGAUGGUUGUUAACCCGAGGGGCUGUGAGGGACGUGCCCCAGCUGCUGGUUUCCCUGGUGACUGAGCCCACGUGAUGUCAAUUCCAUCAAUUCCCCUAUAAACAGUAGCCUCCUCCCCCGAGGAGCGGAGAUCCCUGCCAUGUCCUGCCUGCCGUCCGCUGCCCAUGGUGGGACGUCGCUCCAGGAUCCUGCUUCGGACGUGUAAGAUCUCCUGUCCAAUAAACCAUGAUCUCUCAGUCACUGUUUCUGGGCUCUUCCUUCGGUCUCAAGUCUGGGUAACUACAAGGCUUGCAAAGACCUGCAGGGUGCAGCCAACACAGACCCACACUGAUAAUACAAGCCAUCUGGACAGAACCACACUUGAAAGCACACCACAUGGAUACCUGCUCCCAUCCCAACAUGCAGGCUACACUUACCCACAGGGACACACACCACACCCAUCACAGCCAGCGUGAUUGGAUACAUGCGUGCACACGCGCGUGCAUGCGCGCGCGCACACACACACACACACACUUCUGCAUGCAUUUUGAAUUUCCAAGUGGC